rnacentral:rRNA from 1 species
GGUGCAUGGCCGUCGCCAGUUCGUGCCGUGAGGUGUCCUGUUAAGUCAGGCAACGAUCGAGACCCGCGUCCUCUGUUGCUACUGGUUUUGUGCCAGGCACACUGAGGAGACCGCCGCUGAUAAAGCGGAGGAAGGAGCGGGCCACGGCAGGUCAGUAUGCCCCGAAUAUCCCGGGCCACACGCGAGCUGCAAUGGCAGGUACAAUGGGUUCCGACCUCGUAAGGGGAAGGCAAUCUCGAAAGCCUGCCGUAGUUGGGAUCGAGGGUUGAAACUCACCCUCGUGAACAUGGAAUCCCUAGUAAUCGCGUGUCACUAGCGCGCGGUGAAUACGUCCCUGCGCCUUGCACACACCGCCCGUCGUUCCAGCCGAGCGAUUCCUGGGUGAGGCGUGGUCUUCCUUGGCUGCGUCGAAUCUAGGUUUCGCAAGGAGGGAAAAGUCGUAACAAGGUGGCCGUAGGGGAACCUGCGGCCG